CUGGCUCAGAACGAACGCUGGCGGCGUGCUUAACACAUGCAAGUCGAACGCGAAAGGGACUUCGGUCCUGAGUAAAGUGGCGCACGGGUGAGUAACGCGUAGAUAACCUGUCUUAUGUCUGGAAUAGUACGCCGAAAGGGGUACUAAUACCGGAUAUUUUUUGCAUUGCAUAAGCAGUGUAAGCAAAGGUGGCCUCUGACAUAAGCUACUGCAUAAAGAGGGGUCUGCGUACCAUUAGCUAGUAGGUGGGGUAAAGGCCUACCUAGGCUACGAUGGUUAGCGGGUCUGAGAGGAUGAUCCGCCACACUGGCACUGGAACACGGGCCAGACUCCUACGGGAGGCAGCAGUGAGGAAUAUUGCGCAAUGGGGGCAACCCUGACGCAGCGACGCCGCGUGAAGUGAGGAAGGCCUUCGGGUCGUAAAGCUCUGUCAAAGGGAAAGAAGUGCAUGGUGGUUAAUACCUGCCAUGUUUGACGGUACCCUUAAAGGAAGCACCGGCUAACUCCGUGCCAGCCGCCGC
rnacentral:rRNA from 1 species